rnacentral:rRNA from 1 species
CACGUAGGGUGCGAGCGUUGUCCGGAAUUAUUGGGCGUAAAGAGCUCGUAGGCGGUGUGUCGCGUCGGCCGUGAAAACCUGCAGCUUAACUGUGGGCGUGCGGUCGAUACGGGCAUCACUGGAGUUCGGCAGGGGAGACUGGAAUUCCUGGUGUAGCGGUGAAAUGCGCAGAUAUCAGGAGGAACACCGGUGGCGAAGGCGGGUCUCUGGGCCGAUACUGACGCUUAGGAGCGAAAGCGUGGGGAGCGAACAGG